AGCCUUGUAGGUAUCCCAGAAGAUGACAGCCACAGUGUCUGACUCUGGUCAGGACCUUGGUGCCGUUGACUCGGAGUAAUGUCCUGACCGCAGGAACCACCUCACGAUGGGGCGACUGACUCAGAUUGGUCGUCUUGAGCUGUCCUUGUCUGCAAUCUCCGAGUUUUAAAAGGAUGAGCAGCAAGGCACAGAACUUUAGUGAUGGCAGGUGCCAUCCGGGUAACUUUUGGAAGCGUCCAGGCAUUGGAGGAGAAGAGCCUAGAGAACUAAAAUCAGGAGAAGAGCCUAACUACACAAGUAAAUUUUCAUACCACUCAGCAAUUAC